GCCAUCGAUUAGGGGUGCCUUGUUUUGUCAGAAACACAAAUAAAGGCUGAGAUCAUACCCAACAGAUUAAGUUCUGUGCACCUGAUCCAGGUAAUGCUGGCGGAGGGAAAGGUUAGUUAAAUAUA
rnacentral:ncRNA from 1 species